GCCCGAUUAGCUCAGCUGGUUAGAGCGUCGUACUAAUAUCAGUUCUUUGAUAUCAAGUUUCCUCCAGGGAAAUAUCAAGUCCAUGCGAAGGUCAACAGUUCAAUCCUGUUAUUGGGCA